rnacentral:rRNA from 1 species
GACGAACGCUGACGGCGUGCUUUAGACAUGCAAGUCGAACGAGAAAGCCCUUCGGGGUGAGUAAAGUGGCGAACGGGUGAGUAACACGUGGGCAAUCUGCCCUUCGUUGGGGGACAACCGGGGGAAACCCCGGCUAAUACCCCGUAAGCUUGUCGGGUCGCAUGGCCUGACAAGGAGAGGUAGCUUCGGCCAUCCGGCGAAGGAGGAGCCCGCGGUACAUUAGCUAGUUGGUGAGGUAAAGGCUCACCAAGGCUACGAUGUAUAGCCGGUCUGAGAGGAUGAUCAGCCACACUGGGACUGAGACACGGCCCAGACUCCUACGGGAGGCAGCAGUCGGGAAUCUUGCACAAUGGGCGAAAGCCUGAUGCAGCAACGCCGUGUGAGCGACGAAGGCCCUAGGGUCGUAAAGCUCUGUUGUUAGGGACGAAGGGCGAAGGGUUAAUAGCCCUUAGCCUGACGGUACCUUUCGAGGAAGCCCCGGCUAACUACGUGCCAGCCGCCGCAGUAAGAC